rnacentral:tRNA from 1 species
UCCCGCGUGGUCUAUCGGUUGUGAUUCUUGGAUCUUACCCAGGCGGCCCGGGUUCGACUCCCGGCGCGGGAG